rnacentral:rRNA from 1 species
UACGAAGGGGGCUAGCGUUGUUCGGAUUUACUGGGCGUAAAGCGCACGUAGGCGGAUCGUUAAGUCGGGGGUGAAAUCCUGGAGCUCAACUCCAGAACUGCCUUCGAUACUGGCGAUCUUGAGUCCGGAAGAGGUGAGUGGAACUCCUAGUGUAGAGGUGGAAUUCGUGGAUAUUAGGAAGAACACCAGUGGCGAAGGCGGCUCACUGGGCCGGUACUGACGCUGAGGCGCGAAAGCUAGGGGAGCAAACGGG